UUGUAUUAUUUAUACCCAAAUAAAUGCAAUAUGUAGCUUUCAAGAAGGAACAUUCCACUCUAUUCUAAGUCACCUUUACUAUAUGAUUCCUGCCCUCUCUGACACUCUUUGCAGCCUGUUUCUCCUCCCUCUCUUCCUCCUCCUUCCCGCACAGCCUGGGAAGUAAUCCUAUAUAUAUUAGUUCACCCUCUGCUUCCUCAAAGGCUCUUCUCAGCUCUCUGAAAUUGUGUCACACAAACAAAGAAAAAUGCCUGAAGAAGUUCCUGCUCAGUGCAAGGCUCCCAAAGAUGAGCUGGACAAAUGUGUUCAGGGGAAGGGUGCAGAGGGCUGUAAGCAGCUGCUGGAAGCUUUUGAGGCCUGUGUGAAAGGGGCCACGGCAGCCUCUUGAGGGGACAUGCAUUUACAUGUCCAUCCUUUCUGUGUCCUCCAAUGUCUUUGCAUUGCCUCACAUCGCACUGGACUAAACCAUUCUAGGGACAGUGAGAGGGGUGCAAGUGCUGGAAAGCAGUGGAAAUGUUUAUUCUGAUCCUGGGAAGUCUUGUUGGUGUCCCUCAUGUUGUCCGUGAUAUCUGUAACUGUGGAAGAAAGAAGAACCCAGUUUUAUUAUUAUUUUCCAGAUUUCACACUGUAAAAAACAGUGCAUUUCAUUUGAUUUUGAAUAAAUUACUAUAAUUGUUUCUUUAUUUUGCCAUUACUACACAGGCCGACAGAUUUUAACACAUCCAAAACCAUGACAAUUAAAAGGCAGCCUACAUAACUGUGAUCACUAAAUAACUGAGACUAAAUAGCUUGGUAAUAUGAUUGAUUGACAUUUAACUGCAGUGGUCUACAUACUUCGUAACUUAUGCCAAGCACAUUGGCAGCGCUGCUCAUGUGGUUUCCUGAAAGCAGGCCUGUAGACACAGCACCAGACUAUCAGCAACAUCUAUUGAAGAAAUUCUGAUGGUGUUGACAAAACCACUUUCAUACUUUUCAUCACAUAUCAAUCAUGCUCUAGUCAUGUUAGUAUACUGCUAGCGAGGACCUAUGAAAGGUUAGAAGAAAAUUGCAAUUUGUGUGAAGGGGUUAACAUAUCAUGGUUGUGAUAAAACAUAAGCACAAUGAUGUAAAAAAAAAAACCUUAAUUUGCAGUUUGUAUGAUUGUAUUGACAUAUGGUUGUGACAAAAUAUAAGCAUAACUACACAAGCAUAAAAGGAAAAAAAAUUAUUAGCAUAAAAUAAUAAAAACUCAUCUGAGCCUGUGUGAACUUGCUGAACUCAAGUACUCAUACUGAAACUUAGUU
ensembl:lncRNA